CCUCGCCUUGGCGUCCUACCUAAGCCUGCUGUUGAGGGAGGAGCGAGCUGCACGCGCACGCUUCGCCUUACGAGGGGAGGGAAUGAUAAAGCAGGAGAUUCUGAUGAGCGUGAGGCUUUUAUCCCUCAGUUCGGCUGACCCGGCGCCUAAAUAGCAGGCAGGAUCUCUUGGAUCGACACCUUGCUUAACUGAGUGGUUGUGCUUUACUGAAUUUUUCCAUUGCUGAAGAAUCCAUCAGAACCAUUGGUACCUGAAGAGACAAGGUAUCUUGCUGCAACUUCACUAAGUUGCAUUUCUUGUCGAUGAGAGGAACUCGUCUCUCUCUUCCCACACAAACAGAGUGCAGAAUGGAGCUGUAGUAUGGACUUCUUUCAGAAAGACAGCAACAAAAAUAAGACUCAGAGUAAAGGUCACUUCUGAUCCAGCUUACACAGACCUUCCAUGUUUGUUCCCUGUCUACAGAUCACGAGCUCUCAGGUUCAAGGCAGCAAGACUCACAAUCCUGCUUACGGAAUGUGCCUGUUUUGCAGUCAUGGAGGCACCCGGCCAGAUGAGGUUCAAGCUGGUCUGCAUUGAUUUGAACUUAAGGUAGUGUUGGAACUGCUCUAUUACCUGGAAGAACUCUGGAUUCUGGUUAAGUUCAUUUUGAUCCUGCUCAUAUUGGCUGCUUAAAGUGUACUUACACACAGCUUGAGCCUGUCUGGAUGCUGUUCUUCCUCUUCAGUCAUUUUUCUGCCCUGAUUUGUAUUCCUGCCCUCCAGCGUAACGUUAUUCAGAAACUUCUCGUCCUCCUGUGCAGCAGCAUAAAUAAGUUUGGCCACUGGGAAUACAGUACAGGGGUGGGAAAACAAUCCCGUAAUUGAAGACCUACUUCUAGCACCAGCGUUGCGAAUUAAAUCCAUCAGAGGACUCUCAGAACCCAGGACAACUUGCCACCUCAGAGCAACUUAUGCAUUGAAGAGUGUAGAUGGAAGCAACGGGGAGGGAAAGGAGAACAUCGUCUACAGGUUUGGAUAAAUUCAUCUUUCUGCCCUUCACUUCAUAUCCACGUCAAAGUCCAACACCAGCAGCUUUGUUUCCUCAGUCCCGUUCCGGCUCCCAACGGCGCACACCAGCUUUGUGUUGGAAGCUCUGAUCCGCCACACGACGCCUCCGCUUCCCCCGCUCUCCAAUGUCACAGCGCUCUGAUGUUUGUUGGGACCUAGAAGAGCAAACCAGAACAUUUUUGUUUCUAAUGGGAAAGCAGUGACAGACAGCGCUGCACGUAACGUAAAUACCCAUCCACUUGAGUGCAGCUGUUUCUCUUAGAUGUGUUAUCCCUGUUUUUGUGCUUUAAAAGGUACAGAACCUUGCCUUCUGUUUUCAAAAAGCGAAAUUUCCCCAAUACUUCUUUGUUACAGUGAUCUUGUUUUGUUCCAUACGCACAGCAGGCAAAGUGCAAGCUUGGAAAUUCACGAACAUGAACUUAGCUGUGCAGAAUGAGGUGAGCACGAUGCAUGUUUUUUCUCCAAGUCCCUUUGAAGUGUUAUUAUGGGAUAACUCUACUGAUUUUGACUGUAGAAUCAGCAUUUCCAGACACGAGUAUAUUGUCCUUAAGUUCCAUUCCACUCGUCAAAGACUGGUGGCCUGUGAGUGUGUGAAUGCAGUUUCCUGUCUCCACAUCCCAAACUCGGAUGGAGGUGUCAAGAGAUCCGCUCACCACAUGGAUACCAUCAAACUGCAAGAAAGCCAUGAGUGUAGGCUAACACCAGUGACAACUGACUACGAGCUUCCACGAGACUGGAGAAAAAACACACAUACAGCAAAGUUGUUUUAAGACCAUCGUAGAGAUGGCUGAUGCUAUUUUGAGAAGUCAUGGAAGACAGACAAGACUUCAGGUGGCAGUGCCUGGAAUUGAUGCUUUCACUUCACGAAUGAACAAGAUGAUCUUUUGGAAUAGUUAAGCGUGUGCAGACAGGUCUCGGUCUCUGGAUCCCACACUUUGACCAUAAAGUCAUAUGCACCACUUACAACCCUUCUGCCAUCAUACUGAACGCAUCGAACUGCAGCUACGUGGCCCAUCAGAACAUGUAAACACUGGCCCGUCUCUAUGUCCCAAACUCUCAGUGUAGCAUCUCGAGAACCACUGACCACUCUGGAGGAACAAGAAAACCCCUCCUAUAUUUAGUGUUGGAAAUAAAAGCAUUAAAACAAUAUAAAUCAGUUCUAAGUUUUCAUCUGGGAUGACUAGACAGCAUUUGUCCACUAGGCACCGAAGAUCUGGUUUGGUAUGACAUUUUAUUAGGGAUGCAAAUGACUCAAGUGUGUUUCUUCCUCGCCCUUCUCGUCUCUCCAGGAUCUAUUUGAUAUAAUUAGCAAUCUCUAUUUAAAAAGCACUUGAGUCCCGAACAGCAAAAUGAUGCCAUGAGAAACUACGUGGACUACUGUAUCCACCCAUAAAGCUUAUGAAUAUGCCGAGUUCAAAUUAGCACUUUAAGCAUCCUGCUUAAAUGACUGAAUUAACUAAUUAUAACAAUUAAAGAAGAUCUUUAGAAGUUAUACUUUUAGCAAAGGAACGAUUAUUCUGCUUGUUUUUUUUCUCAGUUUAUACUUUUUAAAGCCUUUUUAGGCAAGCACAGAAGUGAGAAGGAAUUAAUAUUAGUGGCACAGAUAAAGAAAAACCUCCACAUUCUUCAAAAAAGAAAUGUAACCAACGGGCACUUGGACAACAGCACCAUACCACAGCCACGUAAAGUAGCUCUGCCAAUGUUCCUUGAAUCAAGAAUUUCUACUGCAGAAAUCAUGAUACAAGAAGAUUAUCUUCAGCCAGAAUCCUCCAAUAACGGCACGUCUGAGCUGCCUGCAGAAGGUCCCUGGGUUCCAGGAAUGACAGCACGUACAGCGCCAGCUGUAAGAAAAGGAAGGGAGGUUUCUAAAUUGCUUUUGAAAGGAAAAGUGAAGUAACUCCAAGCAUUAUCACACAUCAGAGGCUGAAAUACAGAAAAUUGAAACAAUGAAUUAUUAAAUGAUCUCAGAAACUUAGCAGAGCUACAGCUUGUUCCAGUGGGCACUUGAGAAGUACAGUAAUCUUCUUAAAUAACUAAAUCCACACAGAUCACAUCAAAAAUGUAUAUUAUUUGCAAGAGACUAGAUGUCAGCUGAAAUCACUGGCUAUUAUGCUUUUUUAAAUGUCAUCCGUAUUACUUUGAACCACUGCCAGAUAUACUGAAAUAAUUGUGCCUGUGAUAUUUUAUCUAAUAAAAGUUGUUCUGAGAGUUUAA